rnacentral:rRNA from 1 species
AGUGAAGCGGGAUGAGCUCAAAUUUAAAAUCUGGCUGGUUUACUAGUCCGAAUUGUAGUUUAAAGAAGCGUUUUCGGUGGCAGCCUGGGUAUAAAUCCUUUGGAACAGGGUAUCAUAGAGGGUGAGAAUCCCGUCUUUGACUCAGUGCAUGCUACUAUGUGAUACGUUUUCAAAGAGUCGAGUUGUUUGGGAAUGCAGCUCAAAAUGGGUGGUAAAUUUCAUCUAAAGCUAAAUAUUGGCGAGAGACCGAUAGCGAACAAGUACCGUGAGGGAAAGAUGAAAAGAACUUUGAAAAGAGAGUUAAACAGUGCGUGAAAUUGUUGAAAGGGAAACGCUUGACACCAGUCAUGCGAGCGGAAAAUCAGUCUUUUGCAGUGGGGAGUGUGUGUGGGUUCGGACCGCAAGGCCGGCCUGCGCUUCAUCUCUGCUGUAAGUGAUGCACUUUUUCGUUUGCAGGCCAACAUCAGUUUCUUCUGCUGGACAAAACUCUUGAGAAGGUAGCAGCUUAGGCUGUGUUAUAGCUCUUGAGCGAUACAGUGGAGGAGACUGAGGUUUUCGCAGCGCGUGCUUUCGGGCAAGGCUGAUUGGGUGCUAUGGGAUCGUUCGGUGUACAAUGCAUGCAUUUUGCGCCGUGUCUUUUCUAUACUCGCUCAACUCGCUCUUCCGCGCUUAGGAUGUUGGCUUAAUGGUUUUAAUC